rnacentral:tRNA from 1 species
AAGAUACUAGUAAAGCAUAUUACACUGCCUUGUCAAGACAAAAUCGUGAGUUUAAACCUCACGUAUCUUA